UAUCGUAUGAAAGGUCACGAUCUGUUGAAAUAUUGUUCUGUCAAAAUAUGUAUAUCAUUAGGGUUUAUUAAGUUACGAGGUUUUGCUGUAUGGUGAGUUUGAAAGUCACCCAGUGUUAGUUCUCCAGUGACAACAACAAAGGAGGUGACCAACACCCAGGUGGGCAUUGAAUGAUCAUCACCAGCUGGGGAAUAGUAAACAAGGGAUUUACAAUGCAGUAACAGUUGCAAAAGCACCACACAAUGGGGACUGCUCAAUUCUGUGACUCAGUUGCACAAGCCCACACUAGGGGAUUGCUCAAUCCUGUGAUUCAGCAAGGCACAUCAGACAUGGCUGGGCUAGUGUCUUCCAGGCACAUGGACUGAGGAUGUAAACUAGGGGAUAGUGGCAUCAUGCUUUGCCAUAUCUGGCACAUAAACACCUUGCAAUGCCGGCUACAAAAGUGCCAUGCGGACACCUGUUCUCACUUUCAGGUGACACUGUCAAUAUGAAGCGGACAGCAUUAUUUCCCAUAAAUGUAAACAACUUGUUUGUCUGAACGAUUGGCUGAAUAAGAAGUAGGACUGAGUGGAUUUGUAGGCUCUAAAGUUUUACAUCGUUUUGUUUUUGAGUGCAGUUAUGUAACAAAAAAACCCCUACAUUUGUAUGUUGCACUUUCAGGAGAUUGUACUACGGUACUUGUAUGAGGUGAACUGAAAAAUUGGCUUUCUUUUAUCAUUUUUACAGUGCAAAUAUUUGUAAUAAAAAAUAAUAUAAAGCACUGUACAUUUUGUAUGCUGUGUUGAAAUUUAAAUCAAUUAUAUUUGAAAAUGUAGGAAAAAAAUCCAAAAAUAUUUAGUAAAUUUAAAUUGGUAUUUGAUUGUUUAACAGUGCGAUUAAAACUGCAAUUAAUCACGAUUAAUUUUUUAAGUUACUUGCAUGCGCUGUGAUUAAGCAACAGCACUAAUUUUAUAAAAAAUAUUGCCUUAUUUUUAAUAGGUCUUAUGGAAGAAGUGAACCUUUAAGAGGAAUUUGGAUGAGUGGCUAGGUGGACCAGGAUAAGCGGUCAAUACGUGCAUAUGGGCCACACAAAGACAAUUGUGGGAAAAGCAAACAAAUUACCUUAAUUGUGGGGUGGAGGGAUCACAAAUAGAAAUCCAAACGUGCUAUGGCAUAUUUUUUAUUAGCUACCUACAAGCCUAUUCAACUACUAUAAGUCUACUUGCUUUACUAUUAUAUCUGAAUAUAUUUUCCUAUGCCUUGGUAUUUUUUCUGUUUUUCUAAGUUUUAGUUCAAAAAAAGUUAUGUAAUAGUCUGGCAUGAGGCACUGUAUUACCCAGAAAUAAUGUGCUGUAAGCAUAAUGAGAUGCAAAAUAAUUGCAUGUAAUUUCAGGUUUCAGCACCAGAUGGCAAUAGGUGAUCAAACUUUGUUCUUUUAAAUCUAUUCAGCUUCUGCUCAUAAGUUGGUGAAAAUUGUGAUAGUGAUGUUUUUCUAUGUUUGUAGACUUAAAAGGCAGUUAUUUUUGGAGCCAUCUUGACUCAUUAAACUUGUUUAUGCCAAUAAGAAAGUAGAUAACUUUUUGUGAAUAGAAGGAUGCACUGGAUAAACAUAAUUCCAUACUUCAAAAAUGGGGCCACACAAUCUUAAAUAAAUUUAACUUUGGUGUGAAGAGGUUUGGCUUAUACAAAGCUUUUUGAACCUCUAGAAUUGGUUCUCCUCUAAUAUCUCUUUACAACUAUACUAUGUUUUAUUAACCAUAUAACAUCAGCUAAAAGAACUUGAGAAUGGGAAAUGUUAAUAGAUUCAUCAUCCCACACAAUGUCGCAGAAAGUUAUUGCAAGCCAUCAAAAUCAGCACACAAUAUAGAAGAUCUCCUUUGGGCCUGAUCUCACACCCAUUUAAAUGUAUGGAAAAACUCCAUGGAGUCUUUGGAUCAGUCCUGAUAUGAAGAAAAUGAGUGAGUCUUUAGAAUGACAAAAACAGGGGGUUGAUAAUUCACUGUUUAGAAACAUUGUGACACUAUGACUUUUUCAUAUUUAAUGCUUGCCUGAGGAAGUGAUAUUGACCUGUGUGUGUCCAGAUGAUUGAGUGCUUCUGACUUCCACCUCCUAACAUAGUGGUGAAAACAAGAAUUAUAUAUUGCUUGCUCUCCAAGGAUGAUGAGUGCCUUGGCAGUGGACAAAAAUCAUGAGGCAGGGCCCAUCAGUGUACAUCUUAGAACAGGGCAAAAAGCAGAGCAAAGGAUUCAAGAGAUGUGUUAGAAGAGAAGAUCGAGAUUGAUGCAUUUUUCUUGAUUGAUUGAAAGAUAUUUGGGAAAUUGGAGCCUCAUAAUAAUGAGAGCAAUCACAUGCAUGCGUGCAUGCACACACAUUUUCUCUGAUGAGCCAUAACUUUCAAGGGGUGAAUUAAGAAAUCCAUGUCACACAAUUUGACUGAUAGUACCUGAGAGGGUUUUUAAUAACAAACAAUUUUGAUAGGGCUUCAUUAAACUAAAUGGUGAUUUAUGCUAGUUAGAAACAUCAAACAAGCAUAACAAAUGAUAGUAUUCAAAUAGGUUGGCAUGUUUGGAUAUGCGAAAUCAAGACAGUUUCAAGCUCAGCACUUUCAUGUUUUGAAAGUGGUGUUUAUUGUAAACAAAGUAUUUAAUGAGUCUUUCUAUUAUAAAUAUGCUUUUUACAUACUACUCUGUUCUAGAAAUGUAUGUAAGUGCACAGUCUGAAUAAGUUGCUUUCCAUCUUUGUGCUGUGACUACCUGUCCCAUGGCAGAGAAAACAUUGUUAGUGAAUUUGCAUUAUGUAAUAAGACUGUUAAUUUCCUAAACCUAUUCUGUAGUAGCAGCAACAUAUAUUAUUUUUAUGUUUAUUUUUAAAAUCAUGCCUGAAAUGCUAAACCUCUUUUUAUGCACAGCUGAAACUAUUUAUUUUAAAACAAGACAUCUGUCUUUAGAUUAAAUGUAUACAUGAUUCCUGUUAAAUUGGUGUCUGGUACAUGUGGUUCUGGGAGACGGAUGUGUUAUGUCUCAUAUUCAGGGUCUGUGUUAUGCAGGAACUGUGAGCAAUGGUUUUUAUUUUACAAAGUAGUUAUACUUACACUUGUUUGAAUCUUAUGCCAUAAGUAGUUAUGUUUUAAGAUUUUACCAUUGUCACGUUGCACUCCAUAUGUUUAUGGAAAUAUGCUUGAGUGUGAUAUAAUUAACUGGAAUAUGCUUUCUGCAAAAGGUCUCUUGUAUCAUUACAAAGCUUAUAAUCUACUGAGUGUGUUCAUCCUAUUUGUAUCUAAAAUUAGAAAUCUGAAGUAUAAUUCUGAAGUCCUAUUGCAAUUAUGCAAAGCAUAGGCCAUUAAAGGUGGCGUGGAAUCUUGA